rnacentral:rRNA from 1 species
GGCUCAGUAACACGUGGAUGAUCUACCCUAGUGCCCAGAAUAAUCUCGGAAAACUGAGCAUAUCUGGAUAAGUAAUAAAAUCUGGAAUGAUUUAUUACUCAAAGUUUUAACGUACUAGGAUGAGUUGGCGGCUGAUUAGGUUGUUGGCGGGGUAACGGCCCACCACGCCUGAGAUCAGUACGGGCCAUGAAAGUGGUAGCCCGGAGAGGGUCACUGAGAAACUGGACCCAGCCCUACGGGGUGCAGCAGGCGCGAACCUCUUCAAUGCACGACAGUGUAAAGGGGAUCCUACGUGCUUAUGCUCAGCAUACGCUUUUGUAAAGUGUAAAUAACUUUACGAAUAAGGGUGGAAAGACUGGUGCCAGCAGCCGCGGUAACACCAGCGCCCCAAGUGGCAAUCGUUUUUAUUGGGCCUAAAGCGUCCGUAGCCGGAUUGGCAAAUCUUUUGUGAAAUCGCUCGGCUUAACCGAGUGGCGUGCAGAAGACACUACCUUUCUAGGGACCGGAGGAGUCAGAAGUAUUCUGGGGGGAGCGGUAAAAUGUUAUAAUCCCCGAAAGACUACCAGUGGCGAAGGCGUCUGACUAGAACGGAUCCGACGGUGAGGGACGAAGGCUAGGGGAGCAAACCGGAUUAGAUACCCGAGUAGUCCUAGCAGUAAACUCUGUAUGCAAGGUAUUGCGCAUCUUUGUAGUUGUGCAGUAUCGAAGAGAAGUCGUUAAGCAUACCGCCUGGGAAGUACGGUCGCAAGACUGAAACUCAAAGGAAUUGAC